UAUAUAUGCUAGAUGCUACACUGUCGAACUUGGUUGGGCGCCACCGUACCAGGGGAGUACCAAUUUCUAAAUAGUUUGCGGUUCCUUGUUCAAAUUUCAAUCCAGUUUUUUACUGUUUCCUGCUGAUCACCAGUUACAAACAUAUAUGAGCCUGCUAACAGGACCUGGUCAGAAUUUGAGAUGUUAGUCCUGCUCCACCAAUGCAAAUCGAUAACUAAAUCUUCAUGGCUUCGUGGAGAAAACAUCUGUCAUUUUUGGCUUGCAUAAUUGAAUGAUACAUCCUCUGUCUAUAUUGUUGCACUAUAUAUCUAUUACCCUUUGAAUCAGAAAAAUUGUGUGUCUGCUCACCGAUUGUCUAGCUUGUUCUUUUCUUUUCUGAAAGAUAGAUGAGCAUCGCUUGUCAAAACAGUAUGAAGUGGCAGGAUCGUCAAGACACAAACCACAUGAGCGUUGCUUGAGCAGACUCUCUGCAGGUUAUCAUUCAUCUCACUUGUUUGAUCGAACAACAUAUGAUAGGAGUGAACAUCGAGGUGCUGCAGCUUCCCCCGUGGCAACGUACUGAGUGAUGCUGUGGUGACACUCGGCCGGUACAAGGCAGAUGGAUACUAACAAAAUGCUUCUGGAUAUACUUGGCCGACAACAUGGUCUCCUGAUGCCUCUCAUGGUCAAGUGUGUGUAUCUGUCUCCCAUGUCCU
rnacentral:lncRNA from 1 species